AUUUGGUCAGGAAAAUCCUCACAAGGGUGAAUGGGCAAUUUAGUAAUUCAGGAAAAUCAGAAAAUUGGAAAGGUUUAGCCACAGAAUGGCUUUUGAAAUAGUCCCUGGCUCCAUUGCGGCAGUGUUGGAACCGCUCGGUCACUGAGAGGCUUCUAGAUCUUCCCAGGCUCUAGCAUGGUGCUGGGAAAGAGGCAGAUGAUCUCUGACCUGAUCCUGGUUCCUCUUGGCAUGGAGGUUUGCAGAAGUGCAGGCAGGAUCUCUUGCAGAUGUGCAGAGAACAUGAUGUAGGUGGCACUUCUUGCCUUUUUGUGAGGCACUUAAUGCCUUCUCCUGGGAAACCUGAGGCACUUAACUUUCCACGUAGUUCAAGCCCAAAACAUUAGGGCUAAGCUGGUCUGAUGCAUGAGGCAGAGCAGAACAUGUUGUCCAAGCUGAGAGCAAUGAGACAGAGGCAGCACAGCUGCUUGCAAUUUAGCUCAAUUUCUGUAAUUUGCCCAAGUGCAAAGGCUCCUUUGGCCACUGAGAUUCACCAAUCAGAAUGGCCUUUGCAAACCUGACCAUAUUAGGUGGAACCAGGGCUUGCUUACCCUUAUUUGGGCAAGACAAGUGCAUGAACACCUGUGGGUACUGUUGAUCACUUUGGGAGGGGACUUAAUGGUCCCAGCCUUUGUUUUUCUCCUGCCCUUGCUUCCCCUAUCAGCAGAAGGGUGGGGCAAGCCAGGGCAUCUAAUAGGCCUAUUAGCCUUCCAGGGCAGCGUGAAAGCCCUUUACUGGAUUUACUGUAGUUAAUCAUCUGCCUCCUCCAAAUUAAACUCUGGAGGGCAGAAAAAUGUAUAACUGUCAUUAAUCCUAACUGUAGUUGAAGAAACUGUAUUUUGGUUUCACUAGUUUUACCAGCAUCUGUGUAGAGAAGGAAAUUGGAAUAAUACUUAUACUCCAGUAGUAGUUACUAGAGGGUCAUUCCUGCCUGAUGGGUGUUUAGGGGGACUUCAUCGUUAUUGAAAGGUGAAGACCUGAUGGAUCUGCAGGGAAAAAAUCCAAGCGUGCUGUUGGUAUGAAAUGUCUAACUGCACUUCGAGUGCAGGAGUUCAGUCUGACUCGCUGGCUUCAGCAAUGGAGCAGUUUCUGAAUCUGCUUCAUCUCUGCAUGGUGUCCAUAUGAAGUUCAAAGUUACCCCUCCAGUUCAAAGCAAAGCUGGCACCCUUUUCACCAGGCACUAAAUCCCCCACAAUCCAGUAGCUGUGUUUUUAGUCAAGACUCCAUGCACUCAUCCAGUUUCUUGGUUUGGAAUGAAAUGUCACAUCCUCUUACUUGCCAAGAACAAUCACUGGCAUUACUGCAAGGGUGAGCAGCUACACGUACUUAAUGCUCUGUUGUGCUAAUGCUUCAGAAGAAGAGCUGUUACCCAGCUGCAGCGUGAAAUCUAAAGCCCCAUGCCACUUUCUUAAAUCUGGCUUUCAAGAAAAUCCUUUUCUUAAGGAAAUCCUGCAGGUCUCAUCUGUGCUGUUCAGAGUUGCACUUGCUGGUCUGUAGGAUCUUUGUAGUUCCCAGCUGGCACCCACCUGCAAUUCCAAAGCAGCCUUUUAUUGCAGGUGGUGCAAUCAAGCUAAUCUACCUUGGCGUUGCUGUUGAGAUGGGGCCCCUUCUUAGCUGUGUUGUGGAGUUGCAUGUGACACUCGUUCCCAUGCAGUUGUGCUGACAUGUCUGCUUCCUUAGUAAGUUGGUUUUGGAGGGGUGGGUGAGAAGUACAUUUUGUUCAUUUUCCAAAAUAUCUGUUAAAACGUCUUACCCUUCCUCUAUUCGAGUUUAAGCCCUCCUAUGCCUCUGAGGCACGUUUGUGCUGCUACUACAGUUUGUGCCACCAGGACUACUCCUUUGUGUUUGAUCUUGAAACAGCCGUGCACGUGUUGAGCUAGGGAUUGUAGGAACCUCAGGGAAGGACAGUAACAAAUACAUUGCAUCUGUGUUACAACUAGAGAAUUUUGUUUGUCUAGGAACUGUUGCUGAGACACACCUGUAAAUGUGAAUAAAGAAAAUGCCUAAUAAUUUA